AUUUAUAUAGUUUAUAAUAAAACAUUACAUUUUCAUUGUAAAAACAAAUACUCAAUUUUAUAAAUA
rnacentral:tRNA from 1 species